UAAACUCAUUAUGUUUACAUACUUUCAACUCUUAAUGUUAUAAAUAAAAAUAUUUGUCCUUCUUAUAAAGAUCAUAAAGCAAUGAUGUGUAUUUAUGUAUUGGAUUGUAUGGGCUAUCUAACCAUUACCAUUCAUUAAAAAUAUAGGUCUAAUAGUUUACUUUUAAUAUUUUAAUGUAAGGAGUUUGUCAUAAAAUACAAUAGGCCUUCAAAAGAAAAAGAACACACGUAUCUAUGGUUUCUUUGAAAUAAUAUUCUCCCGGAGGACGUCGGGUCAAUGGUACCAGCAUAUAUUUUGUAUAUUUUCUAUAUUCUAUGGGAGAAGGUGGACGUGCCAAGCCAGGCAUAAAGCGACAGGAGAAGAUAAGGCAACAGUAAUCGGACAUCAGGUUGACGGGAACAGGACAUCAGACCAUAGAUAAAAGGAGAGAAUCUGCACUAUGUGUAGACCUGUAAAAUACGCAUUAAGAUCUACAGAUAAGCUGUUGAAGGAAGGAAAGUAGAACCUAGCUUGAUCUAAAAUCUAGAUCUAUGUCAAACCAAAAAUAAUUAGUAAAAAAAACAAUUAUUAAA